GAUGUAUUUAUAGCAAAAGAAUUUGCUAGAUCAUUAGAUGCAUGGUUAUAUUUACAUGAUAAUGAAUAUACUAAAAAUACUAAUACUUAUAAAAUAGUUGAAGAUAGUAAAUAUUUAUUAGAAAAUAAUAUAGAUGAUACUAUAUUUUUUUCACGAACAGUAAAACCAGUAAAACAAACUAUUUUUAGAACAUUUUUUAAAAGAUUAGUAUCAUUAGGUAGUAUGCUUUUAAGACAACCUAGUUUCAAAGUAGAACAUGCAGUAUGGUUUGGUGCUACUAUAAAUAUACAUUCUGUAUUCGUAUUGUUAGAAAAAGUGAGUGAAUUACAAAAACUUAUGAGACAUGAUAAUGAAUCAUGGUUAAUCAAUGAAGCUUUUAUUGAAAUUGUAGAUCAUGUAAUAAGUUUAAGUACUAGACAACAUAUUCGAACACCAUUUAGUGUAGUUCGAAAUCCAGGUAUUCCAACUAUUCAUCCAUAUUAUUCUGGUCUAAAAACAGAUGAUAGAUUACAAGAAUUUCAAGAAUCUAUGUGUUCGGAUCAUUGUAGUAGUGUAUGGAAAUUACUAUCCAUUUUUGCUUUACAACAUAUGAAAAACCCAGAUAGUUUACAAACUUUUGAACAUAAAUUUUCCAAAAAUACAAUGGGUAACAAAAUUAAUGAUAAACAUUUUGUAACAAAUUUUAAACUUAUUAUGGGAAAUGAUAUAAUGUUACAUUAUUUUGAUAACUUAUUACCAAAACCAAUGAAAAAACAAAUAAAAUCAAUGAAAUAUGGUGCUGCUUUAAGUUUUGCAUAUUCUCUUAAACUAGCAAAAUUAAUUUUUAAUCAUAUGCAAUUACCAUAUCUUGGACAACUAUUUUAUGCUCAAGCUCCUUAUUUUGGAUAUUUUGUUACACAAUGGCAAAAAGAAAGACAACAAGCCAGAAUAAAAGAAAUUUUAGGAUUUAUGACAUUAGGAACAUUAUCUGUAUAUACUUUAUUAAGUGCAAUGGAUAUAACACAACAAGCAACAGAUAUUGGUUUAGCACCUACUACAAGUUGUUAUGUAUCUACUUUAGCUCCUUCUAAAGAAGUAUGUUUACAAACGGCAGUCCAAGCAGCUUUAACAAAUACAACACAAUCAUGUAUGACUGCAGUAUUCUCAGUUGGUUUAUUUGCAUCCAUUGGACCUUAUUUAUUUGCUCCAAUGGCUGGAAUGGCAAUAUGGAAUAUUCUAAAAUCAGAAUUUAAAAUCUUACAAAGAGUAGAUUUUGCUCUUAAAGGGGUAUUUAGAGGUGUAUGGGAUAAAUUCUUAUCAAGUAAAGGUAUAACUCGAUUAAAAUCUAUUUUCAAAAGAAGAAAAUCUAUAAAACAACAAAUUGUUAAAACUGCUGAAAAUAAUAUGUUACAAAUGCAAAGUAACCCUGAACAAAUGAAGAAACAUUUAUUCGAUGUACAUAAACUACAUGAACAAUCAAACAAAACAUACCAUCAUAUUUCGUAUGCAAAACUUGCGGUCUAAAUAUUAUGAACGAACUGUUGUAACAUUUUUUUUUUUUUUUUUUUGCUGCUGCUG
ensembl:lncRNA